rnacentral:misc_RNA from 1 species
AAUACUCUCAAUUUCAAUCUUUUUGUUUGAAAUUGGAUUUGGACGUUGUUGUGUCUCUCAACUCGUCCUAAAUGCAUUAGCGAAUCUGCCUUGAUCACGCACAAUGUGAUAAACAAAAGCAUUGUUGAGGUCUUGUCAAGUCGCUUCUAAUCGUCGAAAGACAACAUCAUGUC